rnacentral:rRNA from 1 species
CAUGUCUUUUUGAUUUAAAUAUAAAGUCUAAUCUGCUCAAUGAUUAAUAAAUUGCCGCAGUAUUUUAACUGUGCAAAGGUAGCAUAAUAAUUAGCUUUUUAAUUAGAAGCUGGAAUGAAUGAUUGGACGAAAAUAUAACUGUCUCUUUCUAAAUUAUUAUUGAAUUUUAUUUUUAAGUUAAAAAGCUUAAAUUUUUAUAAAAGACGAGAAGACCCUAUAGAGUUUAAUAUUAAUAUGUUAUUAAUUUUUAGUAAUUUAUUUUAAUUUUUUAAUAUUUAGUUGGGGUGACUUAUAGAUUUAUUAAAUUCUAUAAAAUUUUAAUUGAUGAUAAUUAAUUUUAUAAUCUAAAAUUUUUAAAUUUAAAAUAAAUUACCUUAGGGAUAACAGCGUAAUUUUUCUUAAAAGUUCAUAUUGAAAGAAAAGUUUGCGACCUCGAUGUUGGAUUAAAAUAAAUUUUUGGUGCAGUAACUUAAAAAUUUGGUCUGUUCGACCUUUAAUAUUUUACAUGAUCUGAGUUUAAACCGGUGUAAGCCAGGUUGGAUUCUAUCUUUAGAUUUUUAAUAUAUUUUAGUACGAAAGGACCAAAUAUAUAUUAUAUUAAUUG